rnacentral:rRNA from 1 species
AGAGUUUGAUCCUGGCUCAGGACGAACGCUGGCGGCGUGCCUAAUACAUGCAAGUCGAGCGGAGUUGAUGAGGUGCUUGCACCUCUGAUACUUAGCGGCGGACGGGUGAGUAACACGUAGGUAACCUGCCUGUAAGACCGGGAUAACAUUCGGAAACGAAUGCUAAUACCGGAUACGCGAUUCUCUCGCAUGGGAGGAUC